rnacentral:tRNA from 1 species
GGAAAUAGCUCAGUGGUACAGCAAUUGACUAGUAUUCAUGAGGCCCUGGGUUCAAUCCUCAGAACCA